rnacentral:rRNA from 1 species
UGGGGAAUAUUGCACAAUGGAGGGAACUCUGAUGCAGCGACGCCGCGUGAACGAAGAAGGCUUUCGAUUCGUAAAGUUCUUUUAUAUUGGAAGAUAAUGACGGUACCAUAAGAAAAAGCCCCGGCUAACUACGUGCCAGCAGCCGCGGUAAUACGUAGGGGGCUAGCGUUGUCCGGAAUCACUGGGCGUAAAGGGUUCGCAGGCGGAAAUGCAAGUCAGGUGUAAAAGGCAGUAGCUUAACUACUGUAAGCAUUUGAAACUGCAUAUCUUGAGAAGAGUAGAGGUAAGUGGAAUUUUUAGUGUAGCGGUGAAAUGCGUAGAUAUUAAAAAGAAUACCGGUGGCGAAGGCGACUUACUGGGCUCAUUCUGACGCUGAGGAACGAAAGCGUGGGUAGCAAACAGG